rnacentral:rRNA from 1 species
CCAUUCUGGCCCAUAGAGGGUGAAAGGCCCGUGGGGGUAGAGACCAAGUGUGACAGUUCUGCUCAGAGCUCCCCUUAGAGUCGGGUUGUUUGUGAAUGCAGCCCAAAGUGGGUGGUAGACUCCAUCCAAGGCUAAAUACUUACACGAGUCCGAUAGCAAACAAGUACCGUGAGGGAAAGUUGAAAAGUACUUUGAAGAGAGAGUAAACAGUGCGUGAAACCGCUCAAAGGUAAACGGGUGGAGUUGAACUGCAAGCCCUGGGAAUUCAGCUGAUGAGUGUGAUUUGUGCUUGGGCAUACUGGCCGCCUUCAGUGUCCGUUUAACCGCGGGUGCCUGCCUUAUCGGUGGGUGUGUGUGAAUCGUUUGCAAGCGACGCACGCACUGUUGGUGUGAGGGUCUGCUUGUCAGUGCACUUUCUCAGGGUGUUCACCACGACCGGCGCUGCUGCCUGUCUGCUAUGAUCAAACUGGUCGAGUCUGGCAUUGUUGGGCUUGGCUGGGUCGGCAGGUGACUCUUUGGCUCAUUCGUGGGCCGUGAGUGUUACUAGCUGGUUGUAGUGGAUCUGUGCGGUGUGUCGGAGAUGGCGGCUUCGCAUGCGUGCUUAGACCUGCGGACAUUGUUGAGUCUGGUCGGUUUGUUACUGGCUUCGGCUGGUCGGCUGAUGGCUUGAUUUUGUUGCGUU